CCUGGCUCACGAUGAACGCUAGCUACAGCGCUUAACACAUGCAAGUCGAGGGGCAGCAUGGUCUUAGCUUGCUAAGGCCGAUGGCGACCGGCGCACGGGUGAGUAACACGUAUCCAACCUGCCGUCUACUCUUGGACAGCCUUCUGAAAGGAAGAUUAAUACAAGAUGGCAUCAUGAGUCCGCAUGUUCACAUGAUUAAAGGUAUUCCGGUAGACGAUGGGGAUGCGUUCCAUUAAAUAGUAGGCGGGGUAACGGCCCACCUAGUCUUCGAUGGAUAGGGGUUCUGAGAGGAAGGUCCCCCACAUUGGAACUGAGACACGGUCCAAACUCCUACGGGAGGCAGCAGUGAGGAAUAUUGCUCAAUGGGCGCAGGCCUGAACCAGCCAAGUAGCGUGAAGGAUGACUGCCCUAUGGGUGUAAACUUCUUUUAUAAAGGAAUAAAGUCGGGUAUGCAUACCCGUUUGCAUGUACUUUAUGAAUAAGGAUCGGCUAACUCCGUGCCAGCAGCCGCGGUAAUACGGAGGAUCCGAGCGUUAUCCGGAUUUAUUGGGUUUAAAGGUAGCGUAGAUGGAUGUUUAAGUCAGUUGUGAAAGUUUGCGGCUCAACCGUAAAAUUGCAGAUGAUACUGGAUAUCUUGAGUGCAGUUGAGGCAGGCGGAAUUCGUGGUGUAGCGGUGAAAUGCUUAGAUAUCACGAAGAACUCCGAUUGCGAAGGCAGCCUGCUAAGCUGCAACUGACAUUGAGGCUCGAAAGUGUGGGUAUCAAACAGGAUUAGAUGCCCUGGUAGUCCACACGGUAAACGAUGAAUACUCGCUGUUUGCGAUAUACGGCAAGCGGCCAAGCGAAAGCGUUAAGUAUUCCACCUGGGGAGUACGCCGGCAACGGUGAAACUCAAAGGAAUUGACGGGGGCCCGCACAAGCGGAGGAACAUGUGGUUUAAUUCGAUGAUACGCGAGGAACCUUACCCGGGCUUAAAUUGCAGAUGAAUUACGGUGAAAGCCGUAAGCCGCAAGGCAUCUGUGAAGGUGCUGCAUGGUUGUCGUCAGCUCGUGCCGUGAGGUGUCGGCUUAAGUGCCAUAACGAGCGCAACCCUUGUUGUCAGUUACUAACAGGUUCCGCUGAGGACUCUGACAAGACUGCCAUCGUAAGAUGUGAGGAAGGUGGGGAUGACGUCAAAUCAGCACGGCCCUUACGUCCGGGGCUACACACGUGUUACAAUGGGGGGUACAGAGGGUCGCUACCACGCGAGUGGAUGCCAAUCCCAAAAACCUCUCUCAGUUCGGACUGGAGUCUGCAACCCGACUCCACGAAGCUGGAUUCGCUAGUAAUCGCGCAUCAGCCACGGCGCGGUGAAUACGUUCCCGGGCCUUGUACACACCGCCC
rnacentral:rRNA from 1 species